UCAAUGGUGGGCUGGGCGGGGGCAUCGCAAGAUGCGCCGGUUUCGAUAAGGCCGGUAGUUCCAACCUCGCUCAGUCCAUCGCCA
rnacentral:antisense_RNA from 1 species